rnacentral:lncRNA from 1 species
GUAGUCUUUAGUCCUUACUGUUUACUACAAAAAAUAAUUGAGAAGCCAAGUCAGAAAUAAAAUUGGGGACAUAUAUAUAUAUAUAUAUAUAUAUAUAUAUAUAUAUAUUUAUUUAUUUAUUUCGAAGAUAGAUCAUGGAAGGGAAGUGGAAAACGAGUGGAAGGAGAAGGCAGGGUACUGUACAAAAGCUGUUGGGUAGGCUGUCAUUUUGUUCUUUCCAAUUUUAGAGACACCAUAUAAAACAUUCUCAUGGAUUUUAGAAAUGGGCCAGUGUUGAAAAGCGUCAGAAUCACUUCACUCGUGAGCUCGAUACAGUUUUACAUGUCGGGGGAGGCCUGUGAUUGUGACGUGAUGUCUUGAAUAGUGUGCCUGCCUGCCUGCCUUUAAGCUUGAUUUGAACACACCCACAUAUAAUCUAUAACCUACCAUCCAAAAUUUGCACAUUUUUUUCAUCAUAUCAUAUCAGAAAGAUCUCAGUGGAUGUGGAUAAAGGAGCUAGCUCGCCAAAUUGUACAUACAUCGUUCUCUUUUUUAACAGUUCCUACUCUCGAUCAGAUGCUGUCUAAAGCUAAGCUAAGAAAAUCUCCUUCUAUCUUCCAAGAAAUAAUAUUUUUGGGUCCAAACCUCGGGCAUGCAGUAGGAUAUGCAAGAUCUUUUCUAUCUGAGGUAAGAAAUUACAAGUAAUCCCUUUAAAGCAACGACGAUUGAGGAUCGAAUAUGCUCUGUCUUUUCUUUUUUUCUGUUUUUCUUUUUCUGAAUGGGAUCACUGAUCAAGUUCUCAGCCAGCAAAAGUGACAGUGUAUACUUUUUAUAGAUGUCAAAUCGACUCCAAAACAGUGGUAAAAUGCCAGUUGACGGCUAUUUGAAUUACUAGAUGUAAAUAAAUAACAGAUAAGUGUGCUGAUGAUCAAAACGUUUGCGUUGCCACUUUGAGAGUGAUUAGUUGGCAAUAAAUAAAUCACAGAAACAUUGCUUGCAGACAAAUAAAGCAAAUUGUAAGUGAUUGAUCUUCCAAUGAAAGAAGUCAUCACUGGAUUAGUUUUUUCAUUUUUUUGUUGAACUCCUUCGUGUAAUUAUAGACAGGCAGGUACAAUUUUACCUUCUGAAACAAACUUGAAACAAACUUUGAAGUUGUUCUUACAUCUACCCUUGGUAGCAGCAAAUUCUUCAAGCUGUAAAAAUCCACACUAUAAAAGUAAUUAAGUAGAGAAUUGUACCUGGAACUUUAAGAUUCUUUAGACAUCUACCCUUUAUAGCAACAGAUUCUUUAAAUUGACUAAGCUGUACAAAUCCACGCUAUCAAAGUAAUUAAGCCGGAGUCAAUUGCCAUGGCCAUUUCUUUAACCUUAGCAGUAAGAGUAUAGGUCGACCUCGAGUGGCAAAAUGAGGACGAAAAGCUGGUAGACAGAGAGCUGAUAUAUCAACGUCAGUCCCAUUGAACUUUGGAUCCGUGUUACUUGGUGCGUUUUUCUUCUUGGACAGUAGAAUCAUAAAUGGAUACUCUCAGCACUCAGCAGAGUUUGAGCUGUAGCAGAAAAUAUAAACUUUGCGAGCUCAACAAUAACAAACCAUAGCCCACAAAACAUGUGCUUUUUAAUUAGAAUAGCAGAUAAACAUGGCUCAGUUCAGGUCAGGCCAGGCACUCUUUAAAAAAUAAAG